UUCGCCAUAUUGAUAUAGUUUGAGCAUUUAUCUCUCAUCAUUUGUUGUAUGGGAAUGAAUAAACCUGUUCUAUAACCAUUUGAGUCCAACUUUUUGCUUUUAAUUAGACCUAUUCAAUCCCUAUCAUCAUUUAGGCUCAUUCAAUUUCUAUAGGGUUCAACUGUCUACUUUGAGGCCCUUUCGAUUCUUAUACUUGACCAGCCUCUAUUUUGCAAUCCUACUCGGCCGCCGAAGUACUCUUUAUUUUUCAUCUUAAUUUUCAUUCUCAGUUUUGUUAUUGUGAACUCUUCUUUCUUUGUUUACUAGGGUCGGUCCGUCCUACAGGCGGGAAGUUAAUCAAAACUGUUUUAUAUAAAUUUAUAUUAAUUUAUGAGACAUUUAAAAAAUCAUUCUAGAUUGACAAUUAUAUUAUAAAAACAAUAAUGAAUAGAAUUCUGAAAUCAUAUUGUUAUUUUUAAUAAACAUUUUUGGUUUAAAAUUAAAAUAAAAGUAUCCUUCAUUAUUCUCUAUUUUCAGAUAAUACAAAAUUAGCAAAACAAUUCAGAAUAAUGUGAUAAUAUAUAUAUAUAUAUAUAUAUAUAUCUUCUUAUUUUUCUUAAUUCACUUUGACAUAAUAAAAUAAAAUAUUUAUUUUAAAAAGAUAAUACUAUAUUUAUUUUAAGAAGUUUCAAUUUUUUUUAAAAAAAUCUACACUAAUUAAUUUUCAUGAUAAUAUAAAUUAGUCUACCUCCAAGGUAAAUCAGUUAAAUUAUAAUAAAAUUUGGUAAGACAAUUCAAUGUCAGUUUUAGAAUACUAUAUAAAUAGUUUAAUAGUAUCAUAAAUAAUAACUAAUAUUUUCUAAUUUAAAAGGAAAUGAUUGUUUGGAAUAUAUUUGUUUCAGAUCUUAAUUAUAUCUGGAAUAAAAUGUUAAUUAAUUUUUAGUGUUUUACUGGUUAUGUGUUUUCAACUUAUUAUAGCUUUUGUUGAACUUUGUUUAGUAACAAAACUAUUCGUUAGAAGUUUUUCUCAUGCUAUUUUAACUUUAAUUUUUUUUUUGCUAAAUGCUAUUUUAACUUUAGUUACAUCCCUCUUCAAAUCAAAUAAUUUAUUCAAAGAAGUUAGAGUGAAGCAAAACAUAACUAAACAAUAAAGAACUAAAAUGUAAUGUAACUAUUAAUAAUUUGGAAAUCAAUAUGAACCCAACUACAUAUAAAUGUUCUUUCAUAUUCGUUUUUGUUUUCAUCAACUAAAGCCAGAAGAAGUAACUAUAUUCUAUAACUUUUAGUGUUGGCUGUAUGGAACGAAAGUUUAUAAUUCGUAUUUCAUCAAAUAUCCUCUUUUCAUGUUUUAACAUAAUUUGUUCUAUUAUAUUUUUAUUUAACAUUUUUUGUAGUUUAAACGAUUUUAUUUUAAUUAUGUAUUGAAUGUUAUUUUGUAUUUUUUUAAAAAAAUUUAUCAUUCUUUUCGAUUGAACUCAUUUUUUGUAAAAUACACAAAGCUGAUGACAAUUGGUUUAUUAUUGAAAUUUUAGGAUGGUGUUAAUAUAAACUUUCAGGUCAAGCUAAUAUGAAAUGUACAACUUUAUUUGUCAAUCAGAUAUGUAUUACAAAAAAAUGUGCAUUGAAUUUUUUUGUCAAAGUGGCCUUUAAGAUAAGAAGGCAUUUCAAUUUUUGGUUGGAUUUGGUUUAUUUGGUUUUAUUUUAUUUUUUUAAUUCUAAAGAUAUAAGAUAUGUUCGGUUAUUUAUAAUUUGAUUCAGUUCUCGUUCAGUUAUUAUGGUUUUUGGUUUUGUUUGGACAACAAAGUGGGGAACCAGCUAAUAUCAAAAACAAAACCGGGUCCCUUUCGGUUACAUGCGUUUCAUAUUAUUUUGGUUAAUUUGAGUAAAUUUUAUAAAUAAAUUGGUUUUUGCCAGGAAAAAAAAAACAGGUGAUUUGAGUUUUUUUGGAUUUACCAAGUAGUUGAUAUAAUUUUAAAUAAUUUAGGGAAAAUGUAUUCAUAUAAUUCAUUUUAGAUAAUUUAGUUGAUAUCUCACUCAUUUUGACCUUAAAAGUCCUACCGGUGGGAUGAUAUAUUUUCAUUGUGUUUGUGUUAUAGACUGCAAAGGAUGACAUGCGGGACAACUACAGACAACUGUAUUGUGGUUUUAAUAGUAACAAAAAUAUAAGAUACAUAGGUAUAUGUAGAGAUUUUUAUUACUAUUCACGGUGGUACGGUGCGGUGCGGUCGAUCACCAUUCGAAAUCAUAAAAUCGGAUGGUCGUCAUAGAUAAUCAAUCAGCGGUUUAUAUUUUACUAAAAAUUUGUGGCUUUAUAGUGUGUCUUUUUUUUUACCUUAAGAUAUAAUUCAUAUGUUUAUAAUCUGACUAAAAUAAAGUUUCUUGAUUUUAAAAUUUUAGCCAGUCGACUAAUACGUUAGUGAAUUGUGUGUUUGUGUUCUAAGUUUUGACUUGUAAGUCAACUUAAUAUGAGAUGGUCAAUAUAAUGUUCAUUUUUAAUAUUGUUGGAGUGAUUAUGAAUUGGCAUUACGAAUAAUGAUUAAUGGAUCUUGUUUUGUUAUUCUUUUUAGCAAGGAUCUUGUUUUGUUAUUCAUUUGACUUAUUUGCGCUAUAAAGUGAUGGAUUCUGCAUACUAUACGUUUGACUGAAUCUUAAGAGUAAGGGUUGAUGUUUUAUUUUUUUCACGUGUAUUGUUAGAUUUUGGGAUGGGUUUUGGAUGCUUGCGCUGUUAUCUACUCUCUGGACUUGUCCUCUUCUACUUUAUAAUCAAUCAAAUGAAUGUUGACCGGAAAAAAAAAGAAAAGAAAAAAUAUAUAUGUGUUUAAUUGCAUAUACACGUGGAGUGUUCCUUUAGUUAGGUGAGACUGAAUUCAAGAAGAAACAAAAGAGAAAGGACUAAACUGCAAAUAGGUGUAACUUAAGUUGUUUAUCAGAUCUAGGGUCUUCUACAUUUAUAUUGGCCGAUCUCAAAUUCUUUACGGGAUGAGUCUCGUCGCCUGAUGAAGGAAAAAUCACGGCUUGAGCUCCUCUGCAAUUGGAGGUGAGAGCGAUGAUUUUGGGAGCUGAGAUGGUUGUUGGUCGUGAUCUUAGAAGAUCGCAGCGGUGAAAAAGAUGAACGUCCUCACGCCACUAAGAAAGCUUAAACACGACAAAGGAGGGAGGUAAUCACGGUUGGACCACCGGAGAUCAAUCGGAGCGGCAACAAAGAUGACAUGAGAAGUCGCAAGAGAAGUCGCGGGGUGCCAUGGCGAGGAGUCGAGGUGGCCGAGACGAAUAAGGUAUACAGUUUCGUAUUAAAUGAUAAAUUGUGGUGGAUGGAGUUAUGAAGGGCUUUAAGGCGAUGUAUCUGUCAAUGAGGAAGAAGAUUGAACGACGUGAGAAAAAUCUCUACCAACAUAUUCAUCUCCCCGACUCCAUCGACCCAAUCCCUAGAAUCAGAGUUGUUGUGUAGAGACGUUACACGCUCACUAUCGGGAUGGGUUUUAGCCUAAAGCCCACAUAAAAGAUGUAACCCAUAUAUCUAUUCAAUUUUUUAAAUGAAACGCAACGUAUAAGCAAAA